UGGGCGCAGCCUGAUGCAGCCAUGCCGCGUGUGUGAAGAAGGCCUUCGGGUUGUAAAGCACUUUCAGUCGUGAGGAAGGUAGUGUAGUUAAUAGCUGCAUUAUUUGACGUUAGCGACAGAAGAAGCACCGGCUAACUCCGUGCCAGCAGCCGCGGUAAUACGGAGGGUGCGAGCGUUAAUCGGAAUUACUGGGCGUAAAGCGCAUGCAGGUGGUUUGUUAAGUCAGAUGUGAAAGCCCGGGGCUCAACCUCGGAAUAGCAUUUGAAACUGGCAGACUAGAGUACUGUAGAGGGGGGUAGAAUUUCAGGUGUAGCGGUGAAAUGCGUAGAGAUCUGAAGGAAUACCGGUGGCGAAGGCGGCCCCCUGGACAGAUACUGACACUCAGAUGCGAAAGCGUGGGGAGCAAACAGGAUUAGAUACCCUGGUAGUCCACGCCGUAAACGAUGUCUACUUGGAGGUUGUGGCCUUGAGCCGUGGCUUUCGGAGCUAACGCGUUAAGUAGACCGCCUGGGGAGUACGGUCGCAAGAUUAAAACUCAAAUGAAUUGACGGGGGCCCGCACAAGCGGUGGAGCAUGUGGUUUAAUUCGAUGCAACGCGAAGAACCUUACCUACUCUUGACAUCCAGAGAACUUUCCAGAGAUGGAUUGGUGCCUUCGGGAACUCUGAGACAGGUGCUGCAUGGCUGUCGUCAGCUCGUGUUGUGAAAUGUUGGGGUUAAGUCCCGCAACGAGCGCAACCCUUAUCCUUGUUUGCCAGCACUUCGGGUGGGAACUCCAGGGAGACUGCCGGUGAUAAACCGGAGGAAGGUGGGGACGACGUCAAGUCAUCAUGGCCCUUA
rnacentral:rRNA from 1 species